rnacentral:miRNA from 10 species
CAGUACAGUACAGUACAGUACAGUGCAGUGCAGUACAGUACAGUACACUAAUGUAAAGUAGAGUACAGUGCAGUGCAGUACAGUACACUACAGUACAGUGCAGUGCAGUACA